UACGUAGGUGGCAAGCGUUGUCCGGAUUUACUGGGCGUAAAGGAUGCGUAGGCGGGCAUUUAAGUCAGAUGUGAAAUACCCGAGCUUAACUUGGGUGCUGCAUUUGAAACUGGGUGUCUAGAGUGCAGGAGAGGUAAGUGGAAUUCCUAGUGUAGCGGUGAAAUGCGUAGAGAUUAGGAAGAACACCAGUGGCGAAGGCGACUUACUGGACUGUAACUGACGCUGAGGCAUGAAAGCGUGGGGAGCAAACAGG
rnacentral:rRNA from 1 species